UACGUAGGGGGCAAGCGUUGUCCGGAUUUACUGGACGUAAAGGGAGCGUAGGCGGACUUUUAAGUGAGAUGUGAAAUACUCGGGCUCAACUUGAGUGCUGCAUUUCAAACUGGAAGUCUAGAGUGCAGGAGAGGAGAAUGGAAUUCCUAGUGUAGCGGUGAAAUGCGUAGAGAUUAGGAAGAACACCAGUGGCGAAGGCGAUUCUCUGGACUGUAACUGACGCUGAGGCUCGAAAGCGUGGGGAGCAAACAGG
rnacentral:rRNA from 1 species